rnacentral:rRNA from 1 species
UACAGAGGGUGCAAACGUUGCUCGGAAUCACUGGGUUUAAAGGGUGCGCAGGCGGCGUCGCAAGUCAGGCGUGAAAUCCCCGGGCUUAACCUGGGAACUGCACUUGAAACUACGAUGCUGGAGUAUGGCAGAGGGAGGUGGAAUUCCACGUGUAGCGGUGAAAUGCGUAGAGAUGUGGAGGAACACCGAUGGCGAAGGCAGCCUCCUGGGCCAAUACUGACGCUCAUGCACGAAAGCGUGGGGAGCAAACAGG